AUGGAAAUUCAACAUUAAUAUUAUAAUAUUUAUUUAUAAAUAUUAUAAAAAUAGUGUGCAAUUUUUCCAUAUAAGGACAUUGUAAUCUGUUAAUGUAAUAAAUAUUUAUCAUAAGAUUCAAUAAAUCAAAGUUUAUUUAAAUUAGUUAUUUUCCGAUUUCUAACAUAGAAUAAAUUUAAUUGAAUUUGAUAAAUCAUUGACAGAUUUAUUUAUAUAUAGUGCUUAAAUUUUUAAUUAAAUUUUACAAUAAUUUAUAAAUAUAUUAUUAUUUAUUUAUUUAUUGUAUGCACUUAUAUGAUUAACAAUGCUAUAGAUUCAGGAUACCUUCGGGACCCGUCUUGAAACACGGACCAAGGAGUCUAACAUAUGUGCAAGUCAUUGGGUAUUUUUAAUAAAACCCAAAGGCAUAAUUAACUUAACUGUUUUUUUAAUAAUGGGAUUAGUUUAUAUUUUAUUAUGAAAUAUUAAUUCAAUCCCGGGGCGUUCUAUAUAGUUAUGUAUAAUAAUAUUUAUAUUAUUUAUGCCUCUAACUAGAGCGUACCUUGAGCAUAUAUGCUGU
rnacentral:rRNA from 3 species